rnacentral:lncRNA from 1 species
GGAGGACCCUCAGGAUCAGAAAGCGGAGACCCCUCAGCGUAAGAGAGCCGAGGCCUCCUGGGGCGAGAUCAAAGAUGCUCCUCAGAGUCAGAAGGUGAAGACACACGGGGGCCAGAGCCCAAGGGCUCCUCAGGGUCAGAGGGAGGAGUCGAAGAGAAUUUAGUCCUAAGUGCCAGGGAAAGGCGAGUCCCCAGAGUCCAGGGAAGAAGAUGCUGCGGUCUUGGGAAGGCAAUAUCUCACAAGCCUGGGAGGUGGCUCCCGGAGAGGCCACUGUGCAGCCCCCAGAGGAAGGCGACCCCCAUAGCCAUCCGAGGGACUCCUGCGGGUCCCUGAAAGCACAGACUCCAAAGCCUGUGGGCAGGGAGAGCCCAAACCUCCGGAGAAGGACUACCACGCUGACGCAGAGCAUGAUCAAAGGCGAGCCACAAAGGUCGGCACCGGCGGUGGCAAAGCUGGGGGCCGCCCGGGAGGGGGCGUGGGCUGCGCUUACCCGCCCGAAGCCCCCGGCCCGGCGGCGGCUCCCAGGUCGCGGAGCCGGAGCCGAGAUGCCAGCGACCCUGCGCGCCGAGGUAUCCGGGCAGCAGGGGCUCCUCGGGGCUCUCCGGGGCCCCCAGGCCUGGAGCGCGAUCCGCACGGGCUGCAGGGCCCUGGAGUGGGCCCCGCACCGGGGGAGCAGGAGGUGGGCCAGGCUUGGCUUCCGGGUGCCCUCCGGGGUCGGGUGGGGCGGCCCUGAGCGUCCCAAGGCCUUGAAGGCCGCGUGGCCGGCGCCCCUCAGCACCGCCAAGGCGCCUGCGGGCUUAAGCGCGGCGCAGCAGGUGACGGCUCUGCAGCGGCUGCUGGAGCUGCACAGCGCGGCCAGGCGGCAGCGCCGCCGGCGGGACCGUGAGCAGCAGCGGCUCCGGGUCCUGGAACGCCUCCACAUCGCCAGGAACCGCCACUGCCGGGUUCACCCCGUGGGGCUCCCGCCCAGUCCGGCUCAACUCCCGCCACAGGAGGACGCGGCUGGGCGGCGGCGCGCCCUGCGGGAGCAGCUGGAGCAAAUGCAUCGGGAGAGGACGGAGCGGCUGCGGGCCCUCGGGGCCAGGAACACCCAGAACUUCCUGGAACUACUGUGUUCCCCUGGUGCUGAGGAUCCCGUGCCUGCGAAGUAGUGCUCGCCCUUCCCAGCACCCUCUGGUCAUUGCUGAGUCCUCAAAGGGAUGAUUAAAGUGAUGAGGGUUACGGAAAAAGCAAGAGGGCAACUUGCAGGUCUGAUAGUUUCAGAAAGGCCUGAAUGCAACCUCAGGGACAGGGAGAGCAGAGGGGCACAGACACACACAGCAGCUUUGCCCCACCAGGAGGCCUGUUAUUUCUUCUUCCCUCCCCUAAGCCCACACCUGGCCCACGGUCAGAGGGCCAGGUCUCGGGGAUCAAGCAGUGCGAAGGCCCCGUUCUUGCGGAAGAAUGACUCAAUGCGGCACAUCUUGCAGGAGACCAGUUCUUGCUUCACUGGGGGGCCUGGGAAAAGAUGUCAGAGGCCAAGCAUGGGUUCCUGAGGGAGGGACACGCAGAGCAUGGGAGCCCUGUCUGUCUGCACAGCCCUAGGAAUCCGUCAGUGGAGUAGCCACUUUGUGGGAAGAAAUAGAAAGUGCUUUGGAGGAAUGGGAGCUAUGGGCAAAUACUGGGAGCUGGCUGGAUGCCAGGAUACAGCAGCCAUCUGCCAUCAUUACCCUAGCUUCAGGAUCCUCUACCUGCAGGGAGGGGGGCCACCCUAGCCUGCUUGUCACAGGGACAGACUGUGGAGAGAUGAGAUUUCCUUCGGCCUCCUGCUCCCCGCUUCUAGGGCUCGCCUCCUGCUUUUGUUAGAAAGUUAUUUCCCUGACUUCCCCUUUAGGGGCCUGGGGGAAAGGGAUGUUUGGGGGCAAAAUCUCAACUGAGUCAAUCCCCAACCAUCCACCUUUUCUGCAAGACACUCAAGCAGCUGGAGAAGGGUACAGGGCUGAGGAGUCUCACUUGACAUUCAUGAGCACAGACAGCAAUGGGACGUGCAGCAACAUCGCCCAGCAGCCCUGCCUGGCACAUGCCUGUUCCACACCUUUCCUCUUCAUCUCUAGUUACUCCACUGCCUCAGCUCAGCUCCCUCCCCGCUGAUGGCCUUGACUCAACCUCACAG